rnacentral:rRNA from 1 species
CAGAAGUGCGAAUGCUGACAUAAGUAACGAUAAAGCGGGUGAAAAGCCCGCUCGCCGGAAGACCAAGGGUUCCUGUCCAACGUUAAUCGGGGCAGGGUGAGUCGACCCCUAAGGCGAGGCCGAAAGGCGUAGUCGAUGGGAAACAGGUUAAUAUUCCUGUACUUGGUGUUACUGCGAAGGGGGGACGGAGAAGGCUAUGUUGGCCGGGCGACGGUUGUCCCGGUUUAAGCGUGUAGGCUGGUUUUCCAGGCAAAUCCGGAAAAUCAAGGCUGAGGCGUGAUGACGAGGCACUACGGUGCUGAAGCAACAAAUGCCCUGCUUCCAGGAAAAGCCUCUAAGCAUCAGGUAACAUCAAAUCGUACCCCAAACCGACACAGGUGGUCAGGUAGAGAAUACCAAGGCGCUUGAGAGAACUCGGGUGCAGGAACUAGGCAAAAUGGUGACGUAACUUCGGGAGAAGGCACGCUGAUAUGUAGGUGA